GUGUCAGCCGCCGCGGUAAGACAGAGGGUGCAAGCGUUGUUCGGAUUGACUGGGCGUAAAGGGCGUGUAGGCGGUUGGGUAAGUCGGAUGUGAAAUCAUCAUCGCUUAACGAGAUGUCCGCAUCGGAAACUGUCCAACUUGAGUAUAGCAGAGGAGAACGGAAUUCCUGGUGUAGCGGUGGAAUGUGUAGAGAUCAGGAGGAACACCUGUGGCGAAGGCGGUUCUCUGGGCUAAUACUGACGCUGAGGCGCGAAAGCUAGGGUAGCAAACCGGAUUAGAUACCCCUGUAGUCC
rnacentral:rRNA from 1 species